UUCCUGGUAGCUGAGACGGUAAAGCGUCUGCCUACAAUGCAGGAGACCCAGGUUCGAUCCCUAGGUUGGGAA
rnacentral:tRNA from 1 species